rnacentral:rRNA from 1 species
GACGAACGCUGGCGGCGUGCUUAACACAUGCAAGUCGAACGGAAAGGCCCUGCUUUUGUGGGGUGCUCGAGUGGCGAACGGGUGAGUAACACGUGAGUAACCUGCCCUUGACUUUGGGAUAACUUCAGGAAACUGGGGCUAAUACCGGAUAGGAGCUCCUGCUGCAUGGUGGGGGUUGGAAAGUUUCGGCGGUUGGGGAUGGACUCGCGGCUUUUCAGCUUGUUGGUGGGGUAGUGGCUUACCAAGGCUUUGACGGGUAGCCGGCCUGAGAGGGUGACCGGCCACAUUGGGACUGAGAUACGGCCCAGACUCCUACGGGAGGCAGCAGUGGGGAAUAUUGCACAAUGGGCGGAAGCCUGAUGCAGCGACGCCGCGUGCGGGAUGACGGCCUUCGGGUUGUAAACCGCUUUCGCCUGUGACGAAGCGUGAGUGACGGUAAUGGGUAAAGAAGCACCGGCGAACUACGU